CGCAGGGAGGUGGCGCUCCGCAGCUCCUGAGCAACUUCGGCGUUUCGGUUCCCACGGCUCCCACUAUUCGGACCCUCAGGGCAAACACGAGGCGGCCGACUCGCUGCUCCCUGGAACUGACCGCGUUCUGAGAGACUCUACGAGACGGCUCACAUUGGCCCACAGGUGCCUGAAACAGAGUGACAGAAGACAUUUAAUUUUGUUGGAGAAAGUCCAAGCUUCUCUCCAGAUGAUAAACAAGGAACUGGCUUUCCCGAUAGCCAUGCCUGUGUCCUUCUGCUCAUUCUUCCAUGCAUUCUGACGUCACCAGGAUUUUUACAGGCAGCUCCUGAGGAUGCAGAGCUGCUGGUACAACAGAACUGCCUGGCCGGGACUCAGCAGCUGGAGCGAAGCUGAAAGCCCCUUCACCACUUGUUUCACAACACUGGCCACGAAAGUCAUCUAGACGAGGAAAAC